rnacentral:rRNA from 1 species
AACUAACGCUGGCGGCGUGCCUAACACAUGCAAGUCGUACGAAAAAGUUGGCUUCGGCUGAUGAGUAAAGUGGCGCACGGGUGAGUAACGCGUGGAUAAUCUGCCUUUUAGUUGGGAAUAACGUACCGAAAGGUGCGCUAAUACCGGAUAAUACUGCAUAACUACUGUUGUGUAGUCAAAGAAGGCCUCUGUUUACAAGCUUUUGCUGAAAGAUGAGUCCGCGUACCAUUAGCUAGUUGGUAGGGUAAUGGCCUACCAAGGCUACGAUGGUUAGCUGGUCUGAGAGGAUGAUCAGCCACACUGGAACUGAGACACGGUCCAGACUCCUACGGGAGGCAGCAGUGAGGAAUAUUGCGCAAUGGGGGCAACCCUGACGCAGCAACGCCGCGUGAGUGAGGAAGGUUUUCGGACCGUAAAGCUCUGUCGAGCGGGAAGAAAUGUAUCGUGGCUAAUAUCCAUGAUAAUUUGACGGUACCGCUAAAGGAAGCACCGG